rnacentral:RNase_P_RNA from 1 species
CCAGCCGGCCGGACGGCCGCUGCCGGAUGUCUCGCGUUGUGGCGAUCAGCACCCGGUGGAGGAAAGUCCGGGCUCCAUGGAAGCAAGGUGGCGGCUAACGGCCGCCGGGGGCGACCCCAGGGAAAGUGCCACAGAAAACAAACCGCCUUCGGUUCGCCGGAGGUAAGGGUGAAACGGUGCGGUAAGAGCGCACCGCGUGUCUGGCAACAGACGCGGCAGGGCAAACCCCACCUGGAGCAAGACCAAAUAGGGGCGGCCGGACGUGCGUUGGCGACAACGUGACGUCAGGCGAGUUUUCAAGCCAGCCGCCCGGGUUGGUUGCUAGAGGCGCCCAGCGAUGGGCGUCCCAGACGAAUGGCCGUCGCGGAGGGAAACCUCCUGACAGAACCCGGCUUACAGGCCGGCUGGUAUU